rnacentral:rRNA from 1 species
GAUGAACGCUAGCGAUAGGCUUAACACAUGCAAGUCGAGGGGCAGCAUGGUCUUAGCUUGCUAAGACUGAUGGCGACCGGCGCACGGGUGCGUAACGCGUAUGCAACUUGCCUCACAGAGGGGGAUAACCCGUCGAAAGACGGACUAAUACCGCGUACACUCCAUCUUGGGCAUCCAAGGUAGAGGAAAUGAAAUUCGCUGUGAGAUAGGCAUGCGUCCCAUUAGCUAGUUGGUGAGGUAACGGCUCACCAAGGCGACGAUGGGUAGGGGAACUGAGAGGUUGAACCCCCACACUGGUACUGAGACACGGACCAGACUCCUACGGGAGGCAGCAGUGAGGAAUAUUGGUCAAUGGGCGAGAGCCUGAACCAGCCAAGUCGCGUGAAGGAUGACUGUCCUAUGGAUGGUAAACUUCUUUUAUACGGGAAUAACAAGAGUCACGUGUGACUCCCUGCAUGUACCGUAUGAAUAAGCAUCGGCUAACUCCGUG